rnacentral:rRNA from 1 species
GGGGAAUCUUGCACAAUGGGGGAAACCCUGAUGCAGCGACGCCGCGUGAACGAUGAAGCCCUUCGGGGUGUAAAGUUCUUUCGACAGGAACGAUAAUGACGGUACCUGGAGAAGAAGCUGCGGCUAACUACGUGCCAGCAGCCGCGGUAAUACGUAGGCAGCGAGCGUUGUUCGGAGUUACUGGGCGUAAAGAGUGCGUAGGCGGCGAGCCAAGUUUGGUGUGAAAUCUCCCGGCUUAACCGGGAGGGUGCGCCGAAAACUGGUUGGCUGGAAUAUGGGAGAGGAAAGCGGAAUUCCUGGUGUAGCGGUGAAAUGCGUAGAUAUCAGGAGGAACACCUGCGGUGUAGACAGCUUUCUGGACCAAAACUGACGCUGAGGCACGAAAGCGUGGGUAGCAAACA